AUCUGAGUCUGUAUGUAUGCUGUAGAAAACAACCAUGACACUCGGAUCAGCUUGCCUGCACCUCGACUAAUUCCACAGGGUACCUGCUACCUCCCACCAGCAAAGAUGUGGAAAGAAAUCACAGUGUGUUUUCGCGUAACCUCAUGGUUCGCAACCCACUUUAUCGACCACUAGGCCACACCCUUGAGUGCCCUUACCUCAAUCUAUAUUAAAGUUUAUUUCACACAAAGAUGCUCGAACCCCGAGG
rnacentral:misc_RNA from 1 species